rnacentral:rRNA from 1 species
GAUGAACGCUGGCGGCGUGCCUAAUACAUGCAAGUCGAGCGAACAGACGAGGAGCUUGCUCCUCUGACGUUAGCGGCGGACGGGUGAGUAACACGUGGAUAACCUACCUAUAAGACUGGGAUAACUUCGGGAAACCGGAGCUAAUACCGGAUAAUAUAUUGAACCGCAUGGUUCAAUAGUGAAAGACGGUUUUGCUGUCACUUAUAGAUGGAUCCGCGCCGCAUUAGCUAGUUGUUAAGGUAACGGGUUACCAAGGGGACGAUGCGUAGCCGACCUGAGAGGGUGAUCGGCCACACUGGAACUGAGACACGGUCCAGACUCCUACGGGAGGCAGCAGUAGGGAAUCUUCCGCAAUGGUCGAAAGCCUGACGGAGCAACGCCGCGUGAGUGAUGACGGUCUUCGGAUCGUAAAACUCUGUUAUUAGGGAAGAACAAAUGUGUAAGUAACUAUGCACGUCUUGACGGUACCUAAUCAGAAAGCCACGGCUAACUACGUG